GGAGGGGUGGCCGAGAGGACGAUGGCGACGGUCUUGAAAACCGUUAACUCGCAAGGGUUCGUGGGUUCGAAUCCCACCCCCUCCGCCA
rnacentral:tRNA from 1 species